GGGGUUGUAGUUUAAUUAUAAACAUUUAAUUUGCAAUUAAAAAAUACUAUAAUAGUCAUCCUCA
rnacentral:tRNA from 1 species